UCCAGGUGACAUGGUUAGUUAUAUAUUACCAAACCACAGACAACACUCCAGGUGACAUGGUUAGGUAUAUAUUACCAAACCACAGACAACACUCCAGGUGACAUGGUUAGUUAUAUAUUACCAAACCACAGACAACACUCCAGGUGACAUGGUUAGGUAUAUAUUACCCAACAUGCAACACUCCAGGUGACAUGGUUAGGUAUAUAUUACCAAACCACAGACAACACUCCAGGUGACAUGGUUAGUUAUAUAUUACCAAACCACAGACAACACUCCAGGUGACAUGGUUAGUUAUAUAUUACCCAGCAGACAACACUCCAGGUGACAUGGUUAGUUAUAUAUUACCCAGCAGACAACACUCCAGGUGACAUGGUUAGGUAUAUAUUACCAAACCACAGACAACACUCCAGGUGACAUGGUUAGUUAUAUAUUACCAAACCACAGACAACACUCCAGGUGACAUGGUUAGUUAUAUAUUACCCAACAUGCAACACUCCAGGUGACAUGGUUAGUUAUACAUUACCAAACCACAGACAACACUCCAGGUGACAUGGUUAGUUAUACAUUACCAAACCACAGACAACACUCCAGGUGACAUGGUUAGUUAUAUAUUACCCAACAUGCAACACUCCAGGUGACAUGGUUAGUUAUAUAUUACCCAGCAGACAACACUCCAGGUGACAUGGUUAGUUAUAUAUUACCCAACAUGCAACACUCCAGGUGACGUGGUUAGUUAUAUAUUACCCAACAGACAACACUCCAGGUGACGUGGUUAGUUAUAUAUUACCCAACAGGCAACACUCCAGGUGACAUGGUUAGUUAUAUAUUACCCAGCAGACAACACUCCAGGUGACAUGGUUAGGUAUAUAUUACCAAACCACAGACAACACUCCAGGUGACAUGGUUAGGUAUAUAUUACCCAACAGACAACACUCCAGGUGACAUGGUUAGUUAUAUAUUACCCAACAUGCAACACUCCAGGUGACAUGGUUAGUUAUAUAUUACCCAAUAGGCAACACUCCAGGUGACAUGGUUAGUUAUAUAUUACCAAACCACAGACAACACUCCAGGUGACAUGGUUAGGUAUAUAUUACCAAACCACAGACAACACUCCAGGUGACAUGGUUAGGUAUAUAUUACCCAACAGACAACACUCCAGGUGACAUGGUUAGGUAUAUAUUACCCAACAGACAACACUCCAGGUGACAUGGUUAGGUAUAUAUUACCAAACCACAGACAACACUCCAGGUGACAUGGUUAGGUAUAUAUUACCAAACCACAGACAACACUCCAGGUGACAUGGUUAGUUAUAUAUUACCCAACAGACAACACUCCAGGUGACAUGGUUAGGUAUAUAUUACCAAACCACAGACAACACUCCAGGUGACAUGGUUAGUUAUACAUUACCAAACCACAGACAACACUCCAGGUGACAUGGUUAGUUAUACAUUACCAAACCACAGACAACACUCCAGGUGACAUGGUUAGUUAUAUAUUACCCAACAGACAACACUCCAGGUGACAUGGUUAGUUAUAUAUUACCAAACCACAGACAACACUCCAGGUGACAUGGUUAGUUAUAUAUUACCAAACCACAGACAACACUCCAGGUGACAUGGUUAGUUAUAUAUUACCCAACAGACAACACUCCAGGUGACAUGGUUAGUUAUACAUUACCAAACCACAGACAACACUCCAGGUGACAUGGUUAGUUAUAUAUUACCCAACAGACAACACUCCAGGUGACAUGGUUAGUUAUAUAUUACCAAACCACAGACAACACUCCAGGUGACAUGGUUAGUUAUAUAUUACCCAACAGACAACACUCCAGGUGACAUGGUUAGUUAUACAUUACCAAACCACAGACAACACUCCAGGUGACAUGGUUAGUUAUAUAUUACCCAACAGACAACACUCCAGGUGACAUGGUUAGUUAUAUAUUACCCAACAGACAACACUCCAGGUGACAUGGUUAGUUAUAUAUUACCCAACAGACAACACUCCAGGUGACAUGGUUAGUUAUAUAUUACCCAACAGGCAACACUCCAGGUGACAUGGUUAGUUAUAUAUUACCCAACAGGCAACACUCCAGGUGACAUGGUUAGUUAUAUAUUACCCAACAGGCAACACUCCAGGUGACAUGGUUAGGUAUAUAUUACCAAACCACAGACAACACUCCAGGUGACAUGGUUAGGUAUAUAUUACCCAACAGACAACACUCCAGGUGACAUGGUUAGUUAUA